rnacentral:lncRNA from 10 species
AGUGGCAUCAUUGCACUGUGACUGUGCAGGUCCCAAACAGUAUGGACAUGAAUGUCCUCAAGCUGCAUGUUAGCAGGGCUUCUAAUUCCAUCUGCAAGUGAUAGUGUGUGGAGCUUAGUUGCACAGAGCGCAUGUUACUGGAGGAGAUAUGGGUCUGUGUCAUCCUGCAUGGGAAUGAUCCUAAAAACAAAGUGAUCAGUGACUGCUCAGGACUGUGGAAAGGUCACUUGGAGCAGUGGGAAAAGGUCUGGCAGAGGAAUAAGAAGAUACAGGUCUUAGAACAAGCCCUGGGACUUCAACCAAGUCAUUUAACAUCUGGGGCCUUCGUUUAUUUAUCCUCCCAGCAGAUAAAGCAAUACCUGCCCUGUCUUCCUAACCUUGGAGGGGUCAAAAAAGUGAUGGGUGUGAAAGCAUUUUGUAAACUGUAGUGCAAGCAUACGGCAGGGGAGUGAACCAUACUUUCACUAGCGACUUGAAUGAGGUGAUAAAGAAAAGGCUCAGAACUUCAGAAAAUGCAAGAGGGGCUUGACCCUGGAUUGGCAGAGGAAAGCAAUGGUGGGAUCGAUACCUUGGAGAGCCAAGGACCAAGGGGUUAAGGGUCCAUGAGGACAGGCCUGGAUCAUCAGGAAGCUGAGUGUGGAUUCCAAGAGUCUCAAGGUUAGAGAAGUCGCCUAGUCCACCUCCCCUCUCUGCUUCUCACAGAAGGGUCUGCUGAACACUCUGGUGACAGAGAACUCACCCAACAUGUUCCAUGGCAGAGGCUUUUCAUUAGAUCAAGGUGACAUCUGUUUUACUGGAGCUUCCAACCACGUGUCCCAAUACUGCCCUUAGUCACAGGCAUCCAGGUCCUCUCUCUCAGGACAGCACUUUGAAUAAAUGAGGACAGCUCCCAUCCCCCUUUCUCCCAGUUGACUUUCCAGAAACAUCUCAUAUUGUUGUUGGCUUUCCACCAUUUUUCCUCUUCACUUCCUGGGCCUACUACUACACUGUGUGUCCUCCACUUGGUCUCUUCCUGAAAGCAACACUGUGCACAAUGUUCCUGGGGGCAGACUUAUUAAACCAAGUGGACCACUUCCUUCAUCUUAGGUGUCACAGCUCCAUCAAUGCAUCCUCAAAUCACAAUGAUUUUUCUGCACUUCACCCUACAGGUUCCUAUUUAACGUUACAUUGGCUAGGACAUUACUCAUUUACACACAGGCUCUGCUGAGCCCCAUCUUUGCCAAGACUCUGACUUCUGUUGUUUCAUUUAAAGAUGUAAGAACAGGGCCUCACAGUUCUUCCUAAGGAAUUUUACUUUGUGGCUGGGUGCGGUGGCUCACACCUGUAAUUCCAGCACUUUGGGAGGCCAAGUCAGGUGGAUGACUUGAGGUCAGGAGUUCGAGACCAGCCUGGCCAUCAUGAUGAAACCCCACCUCUACUAAAAAUACAAAAAUUAGCCGGGUGUGGUGGCAAGCACCUAUAUCCCAGCUACUUGGCAGGUUGAGGCAGGAGAAUCGCUUGAGCCCGGGAGGCAGAGGUUGCAGUGAGCCGAGAUCAUUGCACUCCAGCCUGGGCAACAGAGUGAGACUCCAUCUCAAACAAACAAACAAACAAAAAACAAAAACAACACAAAACAACAACAACAAAAACCAGAAAUUUUACUUUGCUACAUUCAGCCCAUAAUUUUUAGCAACCCAGAUCUUUCUGGAUCCUGGCUGUAUCUUCUCAGUGUGUUUCUUCUUCCUCCCAGUUUCCUGACCCCUGCAAAUAGGGCUGUAAAGAGGCUCUCUGAUGCUGCACCCCCUCCCUCAUUGCCACCAUGCAAAUCACAGAGGACCCCCACCAGGCCAGACUGGCUCACCUGCUUGAUGAAUGCACCAGCCCACUCUCCCAUCCGGGGAGGCCUGUCGGGCAUAAUGAUGUGGAACAUACUUGUUUUCUAUUCAGCUACGAAAGCAGGGUAUUAUCAAAUUUUAAAAGGCAUCGGCCAGGCACUGUGGCACAUACCUGUAAAACCAGGCACUUUGGGAGGCCAAAGUGGGUGGAUCGCUUGAGCCCAGGAGUUCAAGACCAGCCUGGGCAACAUGGCAAAACCCCGUCCCCUCUGCAAAACACACAAAAAUUAGCUGGGGAUGGUGGCACAGGCCUGUAGUCUCAGUUUCUCGGGAAGUUGAAGUGGAAGGAUCACUUGAGCCCGAGAGGCGGAGGUUGCAGUGAGCUGAAAUCCCACCACUGCACUCGGCCUGGCAGCCUGGGCAACAGAGAGAGACACUGCCUCAAAAAAAAUAAAUAAAAGGCAUCGAGAAAAGAAAGGGAGGAAGGGAGGAUUUUGACAAAAAAUUAUCAAUAGUAACAGUGGCGUCUGUGUAACAGGACUAUAGGUUUGGCUUUUUUAUUUAUUUAUUUAUUUAUUUUUUUGAUGGAAUCUUGCUCUGUCGCCCAGGCUGGAGUGCAGUGGUGCGAUCUCGGCUCACUGCAACCUCUGCCUCCCGGUUCAAGCGAUUCUCCUGCCUCAGCCUCCCAAGUAGCUGGGACUACAGGCGCCCGCCACCACGCUCGGCUAAUUUUUUGUAUUCUUAGUAGAGACGGGGUUUCACUGUGUUAGCCAGGAGGGUCUCGAUCUCCUGACCUCCUGAUCCGCCUGCCUCGGCCUCCCAAAGUGCUGAGAUUACAGGCGUGAGCCACCGCGCCUGGCCCCUUCAUGCGUUUUUACACGCUUCAUCCAACCAAUAGUUCAUGGAGGCCUUAGGUGUGUGUUUCCAAAUUUUCUAUGCUGAGUGUGUGUUCUUUGGAAAACCAGAAAAAAUAAAGCGAAAAAUAAAAUGAAAAUGAAUAAAGA